rnacentral:rRNA from 1 species
GUAGGUGGCAAGCGUUGUCCGGGAAUUAUUGGGGCGUAAAGCGCGCGCAGGCGGUUCUUUAAGUCUGAUGUGAAAGCCCACGGGCUCAACCGUGGAGGGUCAUUGGAAACUGGAGAACUUGAGUACAGAAGAGGAAAGCGGAAUUCCACGUGUAGCGGUGAAAUGCGUAGAGAUGUGGAGGAACACCAGUAGCGAAGGCGGCUUUCUGGUCUGUAACUGACGCUGAGGCGCGAAAGCGUGGGGAGCAAACAGGAUUAGAUACCCUGGUAGUCCACGCCGUAAACGAUGAGUGCUAAGUGUUAGGGGGUUUCCGCCCCUUAGUGCUGCAGCUAACGCAUUAAGCACUCCGCCUGGGGAGUACGGCCGCAAAGGCUG